UACGUAGGGGGCGAGCUUUUUCCGGAAUUAUUGGGCGUAAAGCGAGCGUAGGCGGUUUAUUAAGUUGGGUGUAAAAGGCAAUGGCUCAACCAUUGUAAGCACCCAAAACUGGUAGACUUGAGUACAGAAGAGGAGAGUGGAAUUCCCGGUGUAGCGGUGGAAUGCGUAGAGAUCGGGAGGAACACCAGUGGCGAAGGCGGCUCUCUGGUCUGUAACUGACGCUGAGGUGCGAAAGCGUGGGGAGCAAACAGG
rnacentral:rRNA from 1 species